UACGGGAGGCAGCAGUGGGGAAUAUUGCACAAUGGGCGAAAGCCUGAUGCAGCUAUGCCGCGUGUAUGAAGAAGGCCUUAGGGUUGUAAAGUACUUUCAUCGGGGAGGAAAAAACAAAACUAAUAAUUUUAUUUCUUGACGUUACCCGAAAAAGAAGCACCGGCUAACUCCGUGUCAGCAGCCGCGGUAAUACGGAGGGUGCUAGCGUUAAUCAGAAUUACUGGGCGUAAAGAGCACGUAGGUGGUUUUUUUAAGUCAGAUGUGAAAUCCCUGGGCUUAACCUAGGAACUGCAUUUUGAAACUGAAAUACUAGAGUAUCGUAGAGGGAGGUAGAAUUCUAGGUGUAGCGGUGAAAUGCGUAGAUAUCUGGAGGAAUACCUGUGGCGAAAGCGGCCUCUAAACGAAUACUGACACUGAGGUGCGAAAGCGUGGGGAGCAAACAGGGAUUAGAUACC
rnacentral:rRNA from 1 species